rnacentral:rRNA from 1 species
UUCCGGUUGAUCCUGCCGGAGGUUACUGCUAUCGGUGUUCGCCUAAGCCAUGCGAGUCAUAUGUAGCAAUACAUGGCGUACUGCUCAGUAACACGUGGAUAACCUGCCCUUGGGACCGGCAUAACCCCGGGAAACUGGGGAUAAUUCCGGAUAACGCAUAUUUGCUGGAAUGCUUUAUGCGUCAAAAGGAUUCGUCUGCCCAAGGAUGGGUCUGCGGCCUAUCAGGUAGUAGUGGGUGUAAUGUACCUACUAGCCAGCGACGGGUACGGGUUGUGAGAGCAAGAGCCCGGAGAUGGAUUCUGAGACAUGAAUCCAGGCCCUACGGGGCGCAGCAGGCGCGAAAACUUUACAAUGCGGGAAACCGUGAUAAGGGGACACCGAGUGCCAGCAUCAUAUGCUGGCUGUCCGGAUGUGUAAAAUACAUCCGUUAGCAAGGGCCGGGCAAGACCGGUGCCAGCCGCCGCGGUAACACCGGCGGCCCGAGUGGUGAUCGUGAUUAUUGGGUCUAAAGGGUCCGUAGCCGGUUUGGUCAGUCCUCCGGGAAAUCUGAUAGCUCAACUAUUAGGCUUUCGGGGGAUACUGCCAGACUUGGAACCGGGAGAGGUAAGAGGUACUACAGGGGUAGGAGUGAAAUCUUGUAAUCCCUGUGGGACCACCUGUGGCGAAGGCGUCUUACCAGAACGGGCUCGACGGUGAGGGACGAAAGCUGGGGGCACGAACCGGAUUAGAUACCCGGGUAGUCCCAGCCGUAAACGAUGCUCGCUAGGUGUCAGGCAUGGCGCGACCGUGUCUGGUGCCGCAGGGAAGCCGUGAAGCGAGCCACCUGGGAAGUACGGCCGCAAGGCUGAAACUUAAAGGAAUUGGCGGGGGAGCACAACAACGGGUGGAGCCUGCGGUUUAAUUGGAUUCAACGCCGGA